rnacentral:RNase_P_RNA from 1 species
GCAGUGAGCCACCCCACCGCCGCGCCCAACGCAAAUGCGGGCGGGGAGGAAAGUCCGGGCUACGCAGGGCGCCCUGCUACCUAACGGGUAGGACUGGCCAAUCGGGCCAGGACAGCCAGUGCCACAGAAAAUAACCGCCGAACGGUAAGUGAGUAAGUGAGUAAUUGAGUAGCGUGUUUACCUGAACACCUUACUCAAUUACUCACUUACCCAUUUACCGAACUGGUAAGGGUGAAAAGGUGCGGUAAGAGCGCACCAGCGGCUGGGUGACCACGCCGGCUGGGUAAACCUCAGGGGUUGCAAGACCAAAUAAGCGAACACGCAGGCGGCCUUCGGGCGGCCGGCACCGGGCGGCCCGUCCGGGUUCGCGGGUAGGUCGCUGGAGCCCGUCGGCGACGACGGGCCUAGAUAAAUGGUGGGGCCGCGCCGGGGGAAACCUUGGGGCGGACAGAACCCGGCUUAUCGGCUCAUUGCGUAA